rnacentral:rRNA from 1 species
CAAUGCCGGCGUGUGAAGAAGGCCUUAAGGUUGUUAAACAAUUUCCAUUGGGAAGAAAAGCACCUGGUUAAAUCCCGGGGGUUUUGGCCGUUCCUUUACAAGAAGCACCGGUUUAAUUCGUUCCAGCAGCCGGGGUAAUUCCGAGGGGGCAAGGGCUAAUUGGAAUCCCUGGGGCUAAAGCGCACGCCGGGGGUUUGGUAAGUCAGAAGUGAAAGCCCCGGGUUUAACCUGGGAACUGCAUUUGAUACUGCAAACUUGAGUAUGGAGAGAGAAGUAGAAUUCCACAGUAGCGGUGAAAGCGUAGAGAUAGGAGGAACAUCAGUGGCGAAGGCGACUUCUGGCCCAAUACUGACGUUCAGGUGCGAAAGCGUGGGGAGCAAACAGGAUUAGAUACCUUGUAUUCACGCCGUA